rnacentral:rRNA from 1 species
GUGGGGAAUAUUGGGCAAUGGGCGAAAGCCUGACCCAGCAACGCCGCGUGAAGGAAGAAGGUCUUCGGAUCGUAAACUUCUAUCCUUGGUGAAGAUAAUGACGGUAGCCGAGAAGGAAGCCCCGGCUAACUACGUGCCAGCAGCCGCGGUAAUACGUAGGGGGCAAGCGUUGUCCGGAAUGAUUGGGCGUAAAGGGCGCGUAGGCGGCCUGGUAAGUCUGGAGUGAAAGUCCUGCUUUUAAGGUGGGAAUUGCUUUGGAUACUGUCGGGCUUGAUUGCAGGAGAGGUAAGUGGAAUUCCCGGUGUAGCGGUGAAAUGCGUAGAGAUCGGGAGGAACACCAGUGGCGAAGGCGACUUACUGGACUGUAACUGACGCUGAGGCGCGAAAGUGUGGGGAGCAAACAGGAUUAGAAACCCCUGUAGUCC